UACCAGCACCCCGAGUGGUCGGGACGUUUAUUGGGCCUAAAGCAUCCGUAGCCGGUUCUACAAGUCUUCCGUUAAAUCCAACUGCUUAACAGGUGGGCUGCGGAAGAUACUAUAGAGCUAGGAGGCGGGAGAGGCAAGCGGUACUCGAUGGGUAGGGGUAAAAUCCGUUGAUCCAUUGAAGACCACCAGUGGCGAAGGCGGCUUGCCAGAACGCGCUCGACGGUGAGGGAUGAAAGCUGGGGGAGCCAACCGG
rnacentral:rRNA from 1 species